GACGAACGCUGGCGGCGUGCCUAAUACAUGCAAGUCGAACGAAGCUUUUUUAACUGGUGCUUGCACCGACUUAAACAACUGAGUGGCGAACGGGUGAGUAACACGUGGGUAACCUGCCCCAAAGCGGGGGAUAACAUUUGGAAACAGAUGCUAAUACCGCAUAACCACAGAAACCACAUGGUUUCUGUGUCAAAGAUGGUUUCGGCUAUCACUUUGGGAUGGACCCGCGGCGUAUUAGCUAGUUGGUAAGGUAAUGGCUUACCAAGGCAAUGAUACGUAGCCGAACUGAGAGGUUGAUCGGCCACAUUGGGACUGAGACACGGCCCAAACUCCUACGGGAGGCAGCAGUAGGGAAGCUUCCGCAAUGGACGAAAGUCUGACGGAGCAACGCCGCGUGAGUGAAGAAGGUUUUCGGAUCGUAAAGCUCUGUUGUUUGAGACGAAUGUGCCUGUUUCGAAUAGGGAUAGGUAAUGACGGUAUUAAACGAGAAAGCCACGGCUAACUACGUGCCAGCAGCCGCUGUAA
rnacentral:rRNA from 1 species